rnacentral:rRNA from 1 species
GACGAACGCUGGCGGCGUGCUUAACACAUGCAAGUCGAACGGAAAGGCCCUGCUUUUGUGGGGUGCUCGAGUGGCGAACGGGUGAGUAACACGUGAGUAACCUGCCCUUGACUUUGGGAUAACUUCAGGAAACUGGGGCUAAUACCGGAUAGGAGCUCCUGCUGCAUGGUGGGGGUUGGAAAGUUUCGGCGGUUGGGGAUGUACUCGCGGCUUAUCAGCUGGUUGGUGGGGUAGUGGCUUACCAAGGCUUUGACGGGUAGCCGGCCUGAGAGGGUGAACGGCGACAUUGGGACUGAGAUACGGACCAGACUCCUACGGGAGGCAGCAGUGGGGAAUAUUGCACAAUGGGCGGAAGCCUGAGGCAGCAACGCCGCGUGCGGGAUGACGGCCUUCGGGUUGUAAACCGCUUUCGCCUGUGACGAAGCGUGAGUGACGGUAAUGGGUAAAGAAGCACCGGCUAACUACGUG